rnacentral:rRNA from 1 species
CGGCAUGCCUAAGACAUGCAAGUCGUACGAGGUGGCCCAAUGAAGUUUGAGUGCUUGCACAAUUUCUGAUUUGGAUUUUCCACCUAGUGGCGGACGGGUGAGUAACACGUGGGUGACCUACCUUUGGGUCUGGGAUAACUACUGGAAACGGUAGCUAAUACCGGAUGAUAUGCAGUUUCAUUUCUGCAUUAAAAGGCGCUUUCGGGCGUUGCCUUUAGAUGGGCCUGCGGUGCAUUAGCUAGUUGGUAGGGUAAUGGCCUACCAAGGCGACGAUGCAUAGCCGAACUGAGAGGUUAAUCGGCCACACUGGGACUGAGACACGGCCCAGACUCCUACGGGAGACAGCAGUUAGGAAUAUUCGUCAAUGGGGGAAACCCUGAACGAGCAAUGCCGCGUGAGUGAUGACGGUCCUAUGGAUUGUAAAACUCUGUUGUUUGGAAAGAACUGUAUAAGUAGGAAAUGACUUAUACUUGACGGUACCAUUCAAGAAAGCCACGGCUAACUACGUG